GAUGAACGCUGGCGGCGUGCCUAAUACAUGCAAGUCGAGCGAACAGACGAGGAGCUUGCUCCUCUGACGUUAGCGGCGGACGGGUGAGUAACACGUGGAUAACCUACCUAUAAGACUGGGAUAACUUCGGGAAACCGGAGCUAAUACCGGAUAAUAUAUUGAACCGCAUGGUUCAAUAGUGAAAGACGGUUUUGCUGUCACUUAUAGAUGGAUCCGCGCCGCAUUAACUAGUUGGUAAGGUAACGGCUUACCAAGGCAACGAUGCGUAGCCGACCUGAGAGGGUGAUCGGCCACACUGGAACUGAGACACGGUCCAGACUCCUACGGGAGGCAGCAGUAGGGAAUCUUCCGCAAUGGGCGAAAGCCUGACGGAGCACCGCCGCGUGAGUGAUGAAGGUCUUCGGAUCGUAAAACUCUGUUAUUAGGGAAGAACAAAUGUGUAAGUAACUAUGCACGUCUUGACGGUACCUAAUCAGAAAGCCACGGCUAACUACGUG
rnacentral:rRNA from 1 species